UACGGAGGGUGCAAGCGUUAAUCGGAAUUACUGGGCGUAAAGCGUGCGCAGGCGGUUUGUUAAGUCUGUUGUGAAAUCCCCGAGCUCAACUUGGGAAUUGCAAUGGAUACUGGCAGGCUGGAGUAUGGUAGAGGAAGGUGGAAUUCCCGGUGUAGCAGUGAAAUGCGUAGAGAUCGGGAGGAACACCAGUGGCGAAGGUGGCCUUCUGGACCAAUACUGACGCUCAUGCACGAAAGCGUGGGGAGCAAACAGG
rnacentral:rRNA from 1 species